UCUGUCAUCAGCCAAUCAGCGUCGACACGAGAUGAGCACCUGUCGGAUUCUGGCUGAAGGACUCUGUGAGUCAGCAGAGAGACGCUGAAUGUUCAUAAGUUCAUUAAACACUGUUUGAGUGUCUGUAGUUCUUUAAGUUAAAAGUCUGGACAAGUUUAGGAGCGAGUGAAGCGUGUGGCGGAGGAGCUGGGUUCCUUCUUCCACCAAGCCGCUGAAGGCCUUCGGGGAGACGGCCACACUUCUAUCCAGGGACCGUUUUCCCUCACAACUUGUUGAUGAUGCAAAUGUGUAAAAACACCUGGGGGCAGUCCAGGACAGAGCUGGACCUCCUCCAGAAUCCUGCACACUUCAGGACUUCAGUCUCCUCCCACUACUGGAAUAAUGAAGACAUUAAACCAGUGCAUUACUUUCACAAGCUGUUCUGCAAAGUCAACGAUCAAUUCACUCAUAAUUAUGAAAGUUAUUUUGGCCCCAGAGAGAACGAGAGGAAGUUUACCCAUGCUGUCAUUUUAAUUGCAUCCAGAUUUACCUUUCACAAUCUUAAAAAGCCCCACUGAGGACAGCAGAAGUUCAUUUGUCUUUGGGUUUUUGUUCCCGAGCCUCCGCCACAGUUUGCCAGCAGACAGGAUGUUGGCUGGGAAACGCAGCUUGACAACAGCUUUUUACUGACUUUAGCACUUUAUGCUUGUAAGCUACCAGGUGCUUUUGUGGAUUUAAAUACAGCAUAUGCAUCAUUUGUCUAUUUUAGAGAUUGAUUUUAUGAUGUCAGUAUCAUACGAGGCACACUAAUUCAAUUAAUAUUGAGGACUUUAAGAGGAUAGUACAAUGUAGAAUUGUUAUUAUGGUUCUUAUCUUUACUCGUCACGAGUUUAUGUCUGUCUUCAUGUUA